rnacentral:rRNA from 1 species
AGAGGGUGCAAGCGUUAAUCGGAGUGACUGGGCGUAAAGGGCGUGUAGGUGGGUAUUUAAGCUAACUGUGAAAGCCCUGGGCUUAACCUGGGAAAGACGGUUAAUACUGAAUACCUAGAGUCUAGGAGAGGAAAGCGGAAUUUCCGGUGUAGCGGUGAAAUGCGUAGAUCUCGGAAAGAACACCAGUGGCGAAGGCGGCUUUCUGGCCUAAGACUGACACUGAGGCGCGAAAGCGUGGGGAGCAAACAGGAUUAGAUACCCUGGUAGUCCACGCCGUAAACGAUGAGUACUAGGUGCGUGUUACUUUUAAGUGAUGCGUGCCGCAGCUAACGCAUUAAGUACUCCGCCUGGGGGAUUACGGUCGCAAGAUUA